AGAAACCAUUCUUUGCAAUCACUUCUUCCUAUUGCUUAUGCUCUGUGUGUGUUGUGCAGUGUGUGUGUGGGUGGUGUGUGGCCGUGCAGUGUGUGUCCGUGCAGUGUGUAUCCAUGCAGUGCGUGCCUGCAGUACGUGUCCGUGCAGUGGCUGUCCGUACAGUGCGUGUCUGUGCGUUGCGUGUCUGCAGUGCGUGUCCGUUCUGUGCGUUGCGUGUCUGCAGUGUCUGUCUGUGCAGUGUGUGUCUGCAGUGUGUGUCUACAGUGUGUGUCCGUAGUGCGUGUCUGUGCGUUGUCCCUCGGCCAUGCGUCGUGUGUUAAGUUGCUGCGCCGUACCUGCUGAUCCUGGCCUCGUACUCGUCCCGCUGGCGUCCCAUCUGGUGCUGCAGCCCCGUGAGCACGCUGCGCAGGGCGCGGGCCACCGGGUCGGCCCUUCGCUGAGCCGGCUCUCCGCCAGUAUUAUCUCACAGGAGGACCACGGGCUGCUGUCCCGGCUGGCCGCGCCCCGGCCCGAGCCCAGCAGGCCGAGCUGGUCCUCCUCGCUGUUGGGGAACAGGAAGCCGUCCUCCUCGCUGUGGGGGAACAGGAAGCCGUCCUCCUCGCUGUGGGGGAACAGGAAGCCGUCCUCCUCGCUGUGGGGGAACAGGAAGCCGUCCUCCUCGCUGUGGGGGAACAGGAAGCCGUCGUCUUCGCUGUGGGGGAACAGGAAGCCGUCCUCCUCGCUGUGGGGGAACAGGGUCCUGGUCUCCAUGGGCGUGGCCCUGUCGUCGGGCGUGGCCUUGUCGUCGGGGGUGGCGCCUUCGCGGAGGUUGUCGUAGACGGACAGGACGCUCUGGUGGUCCACGCUGCGCGCCGGGCUGGGGCUGUCCAUCUCCUCCCCCCCGCAGCCCUCCGCUCCUCCUCCCCCCGCUCCCUCUCCCGGCGGCCGCCCGCCGUUCCACCCCCCCUCGGCCCCCCGGCCCCCGGCCCAGCUGCAGUAGCUGUGGUCUGGCCGGGCUCCAGCCCCGGACCGCCCCGCCCCCGGGGGUAGCGUGGGAACGUGAGCCGCGCCGGGCGCCAGGCCGGCCCGGGGCCCACGAGGCGCCGCCGGGAGGCCGCUGGCGCGCGGCGGGCGUCCCCCGGGCGCACCCCCCCCCUCCGCAGGGAGCAGGGGGGGCAGCUGUCGUACAGCAGGUCAGUGGAGCCGCGGCUGGUCGCCGUCGGGGUCUCGCUGGGCAGGCGGUGCGGCUCCAUGAUCCGGACAGGCAGGGCAGGGGGGGGCACCCGGAGCCUUAGAGGACCGCCACCACCCCCCCACCACCUUACCGCUACCUACCACCCUCCUACCCCCCCGUCCCCACCCCUCCGCUCUCAGCAGGGGGGCAAACGGGAGGAUUCAGGUCUUGUUGGUGCCUUCCAAGUUCUAGAAUGGAGCAGGUGUCGGGAUGGGCUGAGACUCCCCGCUGAGCGCCCCAGGAGGUGCAGGUCGGGUCCCGGAGAGAGCGCUGUGGAAGCCCCCCGGAGCUGAGGUGGCUCUGAGGUCUCCACCCGGCGCCGUCGGCUCAAGGUAGUCAGGUUGUUGAGUGGCUGGAUUCGGCAGGACAUGUGUCGGCAGGUGUGUGUGUG
ensembl:lncRNA